UCGAGGAUCUUCUGCAAUGGGCGCAAGCCUGACAGAGCGACGCCGCGUGGGGGAGGAAGGCCUUCGGGUUGUAAACCCCUGUUGCCGGUUAAGAAUGCUAGGGUGCGAAUAGCGCUACUAGUUGACAAAGGCCGGUGAGGAAGCCACGGCUAACUACGUGCCAGCAGCCGCGGUAAGACGUAGGUGGCAAGCGUUGUUCGGAAUCACUGGGCAUAAAGCGCGCGUAGGCGGCUAAGCAAGUCGGGUGUGAAAUCCCUCGGCUCAACCGAGGAACUGCGCCCGAAACUGCUUGGCUUGAGGGCCGGAGGGGAGAGUGGAAUUCCCGGUGGAGCGGUGAAAUGCGUAGAGAUCGGGAAGAACGCCGGCGGCGAAAGCGACUCUCUGGUCGGUACCUGACGCUGAGGCGCGAAAGCUAGGGGAGCAAACGGGAUUAGAUACCCCCGUAGUCC
rnacentral:rRNA from 1 species